AUAAAACUUCUUCUUCCUUUGAAUGAAUUACUUCGGGGAUGCCAUUAGAAAAUAAUGACCAUAAGAAUCAUGUGGAAAUGGAGAGGGGAGGUCCAAUUUUAAAGGAAGAGAGGUUUGAAAGAGAUUCAGCUCAAAAGGAUGAAGGAAUAAAAUGAUAGAGCCAUGGGACAUCUCUAAUUAGAAAAUCUAUUCCAGACAC
rnacentral:lncRNA from 1 species